rnacentral:rRNA from 1 species
UGCGUAGGCGGGCUAAUAAGUCAGUGGUGAAAUUCUGCAGCUUAACUGUAGAAUUGCCAUUGAAACUGAUCUUCUUGAGUACAGUUGAGGUAGGCGGAAUGUGUAAUGUAGCGGUGAAAUGCUUAGAUAUUACACAGAAUACCGAUUGCGUAGGCAGCUUACUAAACUGCUACUGACGCUGAGGCACGAAAGCGUGGGGAGCGAACAGGAUUAGAUACCCUGGUAGUCC